GGUUGUGUAGUGUAGUGGUCAUCACACUGGAUUUUGACACUUCAAUCGUUCAAAGUCCUUCCAGUAACCCCGGUUCGAACCCGGGCACGACCU